CGGGUGAGUAAGACGUGGGUGAUCUGUCCCGGUCACGGGGAUAGCCUGUGGAAACAUGGGGUAAUACCGGAUAAGCUCUGCGGGGUAAAGGCCGCGGAGGAAAGGCGCGUAUGCGCCGGAGAGGGAUGAGCCUGCGGUCCAUUAGCUUGUUGGCAGGGUAAGAGCCUACCAAGGCGACGAUGGAUAGCCGGCCUGAGAGGGUGAACGGCCACACUGGGACUGAGAUACGGCCCAGACUCCUACGGGAGGCAGCAGCUAAGAAUCUUCCGCAAUGGGCGAAAGCCUGACGGAGCGACGCCGCGUGGACGAAGAAGGCCGAAAGGUUGUAAAGUUCUUUUCUUUGCGAAGAAUAAGGGGAGGAGGGAAUGCCUUUCUGAUGACGUUAGCGAAGGAAUAAGCCCCGGCUAAUUACGUGCCAGCAGCCGCGGUAAUACGUAAGGGGCGAGCGUUGUUCGGAAUUAUUGGGUGUAAAGGGCGCGCAGGCGGCUCUGAAAGUCCGGUGUGAAAGGCCGCAGCUUAACUGCGGUUGUGCGCUGGAAACUACAGGGCUUGAGUGCAGGAGGGGGAGCUGGAAUUCCAGGUGUAGGGGUGAAAUCUGUAGAUAUCUGGAAGAACACCGGUGGCGAAGGCGAGCUCCUUGCCAUGGACUGACGCUGAGGCGCGAAAGC
rnacentral:rRNA from 1 species